AUUGAACGCUGGCGGCAGGCUUAACACAUGCAAGUCGAGCGGGGGAAGGUAGCUUGCUACUGGACCUAGCGGCGGACGGGUGAGUAAUGCUUAGGAAUCUGCCUAUUAGUGGGGGACGACAUCUCGAAAGGGAUGCUAAUACCGCAUACGUCCUACGGGAGAAAGCAGGGGAUCUUCGGACCUUGCGCUAAUAUAUGAGCCUAAGUCGGAUUAGCUAGUUGGUGGGGUAAAGGCCUACCAAGGCGACGAUCUGUAGCGGGUCUGAGAGGGUGAUCCGCCACACUGGGACUGAGACACGGCCCAGACUCCUACGGGAGGCAGCAGUGGGGAAUAUUGGACAAUAGGGGGAACCCUGAUCCAGCCAUGCCGCGUGUGUGAAGAAGGCCUUAUGGUUGUAAAGCACUUUAAGCGAGGAGGAGGCUACUUUAGUUAAUACCUAGAGAUAGUGGACGUUACUCGCAGAAUAAGCACCGGCUAACUCUGUGCCAGCCGCCGCGGUAA
rnacentral:rRNA from 1 species